rnacentral:rRNA from 1 species
UACGGAGGGGGCUAGCGUUGUUCGGAAUUACUGGGCGUAAAGCGCACGUAGGCGGCUUUGUAAGUUAGAGGUGGAAGCCCGGGGCUCAACUCCGGAAUUGCCUUUAAGACUGCAUCGCUAGAAUUGUGGAGAGGUAAGUGGAAUUCCGAGUGUAGAGGUGAAAUUCGUAGAUAUUCGGAAGAACACCAGUGGCGAAGGCGACUUACUGGACACAUAUUGACGCUGAGGUGCGAAAGCGUGGGGAGCGAACAGG